GAUGAACGCUGGCUGCGUGCCUAAUACAUGCAAGUCGAGCGAACAGACGAGGAGCUUGCUCCUCUGACGUUAGCGGCGGACGGGUGAGUAACACGUGGAUAACCUACCUAUAAGACUGGGAUAACUUCGGGAAACCGGAGCUAAUACCGGAUAAUAUAUUGAACCGCAUGGUUCAAUAGUGAAAGACGGUUUUGCUGUCACUUAUAGAUGGAUCCGCGCCGCAUUAGCUAGUUGGUAAGGUAACGGCUUACCAAGGCGACGAUGCGUAGCCGACCUGAGAGGGUGAUCGGCCACACUGGAACUGAGACACGGUCCAGACUCCUACGGGAGGCAGCAGUAGGGAAUCUUCCGCAAUGGGCGAAAGCUUGACGGAGCAACGCCGCGUGAGUGAUGAAGGUCUUCGGAUCGUAAAACUCUGUUAUUAGGGAAGAACAAAUGUGUAAGUAACUAUGCACGUCUUGACGGUACCUAAUCAGAAAGCCACGGCUAACUACGUG
rnacentral:rRNA from 1 species